rnacentral:lncRNA from 1 species
ACUCAUUCUCCGUCCAGUUCUGUUCCCUUGCUGGCAAGGAGUUGUGUUCCUUUGGAGGAGAAGAGGUGUUUUGGUUUUUGGAAUUGUCAGGCUUUUUGUGCUGGUUGUUCCUCAUCUUUGUGGAUUUAUCUAUCUUUGGUCUUUGACGUUGGUGACCUUUGGAUGGGGUUUUUUGUGGACUUCCUUUUUUGUUGAUGUUGAUACUAUUCCUUUCUGUUUGUUAGUUUUCCUUCUAACCAUCAGCCCUUCUGCUGCAGGUCUACUGGAGUUUGCUGGAGGUCCAUUCCAGACCCUGUUUGCCUGCGUAUCACUAGAGGAGGCUGCAGAACAGUAAAGAUUGCUGCCUUCUCCUUCCUCUGGAAGCUGCAUCCUAGAGGGGCACCUGCCAGAGCCAGAGCUCUCCUGUGCUGCAGACCAGAGCUGUUUGUAUUCACCCAUCUUGCCAGCCACCCAACCAUGAUUUGCAGUAUAAAGGUGAGUGGCUCCAAAUGUCAGUGGUUGUCAGCUAGAUCUUCAGCACAUGGAAUUUUGAAGACCAAGGAGAGAUAGGAGAACGGGUCAUCAUAGGGGUUGAUGGGCCAGCUUUAUUCUAAAUGACUGAAGACUUCUGUUCUUUUCAACAAACACAGUCCUCCAAUUAGGAGCUGCAAAUAAGAUUAUAUGCCCUGAAUAAGUCUGAAAAGGUCCUUUUAUAAUUAGAAAGUUUGUGUGUGGGAAGUGGAAGCAGCAUGAAGUGCUCACUGUGGCUUUAUUAAAAGAGUGACAUGAAGAUUUUCCCAAAUCCUCAUCUGAGUGCUCGAAAAUGAUAAAAUAAAAAUUAUGAAAAACUGUAUGCAUAUUCCAUUUCUUCUUUUUCUUUCUGAAAGCUUUCACAUUUAUGCUAUAGAAACAAGUCAAUGGUUUUUUAAAAUUUUAUCAGGCAUAUUCGAAACAGACUGUCAUUUGAUAGUGUGCAGAUUGUUAAAAUACAAGUGAAAAUGAUUUCAAUGAAGGGAUGAAGUUUAAUACAGUGCAUACUUUAUAUUUUCAUUUUAACACUUUUAUGAUCGUCACUCCAUCACUACAGUGACAUAAUAUUUUGUUAAAUAUGGUUGGACUUAACUUAUAUUAAGCUUCCUGGUCUGUGGACACACAGGACUGAUUGUGCUCAGCUACUCUUCUAGACCAAUCAGACUUUAGUAUGUAAAUGGACAUUUCCUGGAUGAACCAAUGACCGUCCCCCACGCCCCCCCGCCCUCCCCCCCCCCCCCCCACACACAUUGCACUCGGGACCCAGUUGCAUACAGCCCUUACAGCUUCACAGAAGGAAGAUGCCUGCUGGACACAGCUUCCUAUGAGCUAAGACGGGAAGUCAAGGCUGGCAGGAAAGAGGAAGAGCUGAGAGGCUAGAUAAUAAUAGGAAAAUAACAGUUCCAGGCACUGUGGACAGAACCACAGCCAAUCUGCGGCUCAGCCACUUCCACAAAUAUAUUUUGAGUGCUUACAAUGUGCCAGACACUGUCCGGGGGCUGGAGAUACAGCAGUGGACAGAGACAGAUAUCCCUGUCCUCAGAGAGCUGACAUUCUAGACUUUCUGAACUAAUGUGACUCCAGUGGAUUGUUAUUUUUUGUAGUUUAAGUUAUGAAAAAAUUAUUAUUCGGAGAUAAAAUUAUUUAACAAUAUUGAAUGUGCUCUUUCCAGCUGCAUUCUCACUACCCCACUCCUAUCCCAUCCAGAAAUUUAGACACACUCCUCCCUGUAGGGAUCACCAUGCCACACAGACUAUAAAUGUGUUCAGCUGCUGGGCUGUUCUACUGAGAGGACUUUUAUGUCUAGAUGGAACCAUAGGCUUUACAUCAUAGCAAGGUGUAAUUUUGACAAAUGGUUCUAAGUCCUGGUUGCACAAUAGAGUCAUCUGGGGAAGCUUUAUAAAAACACCUAAUGCCUAUGAUCCCUUGAAUAUCACACCGACAGCACAGGAAACAGAAGCAAAAGUAGACAAAUGGGGCUGCAUUGAACUAAAAAGUUUCUGCACAGCAAAGGAAACAAUCAGCAGAGUGAAAAGGCAACCUGUGGAAUAGGAGAGAAUAUUUGCAAACCAUAUAUCUGAUAAAGGGUUAGUAUGGAAAAUAUGUAAGAAACUCAUACAAUUUAAUAGCAAAAAAAUCAAUAGCCUAAUUUAAAAAUGGGAAAAUGACUUGAAUAGACAUUUCUCCAAAGAAAAUAUACAAAUGGUCAACAGGUGUAUGAAAAGAUGCUCAACAUCAGUAAUCAUCAAAGAAAUGUAAAUCAAAACCACAAUAAAAUACCAUCUGACACCGGUGUGGACAGCCACUAUUAAAAGAAAAAAAAGGAAAAGAAGAAACAGAAGGAAAGAAAAGAAUAAAUGUUGGUUAGGAAAUGGAGAAACUGGAACCCUUGUACGCUGUUGGUGGGGAAAAAAGAUAGAGCAGCUGCUAUGAAAAACGGUAUGGAGAUUCCUCAAAAAAUUAAAAAUAGAGCUACCAUAUGAUCCAGCAUUCCCAUGUCUGGGUAUUUAUGCAAAAGAACUGAAAUCAGGAUCUUGAAGAGAUAUUUGUCCUCCAUGUUUCUUGCAACACUACUCACAAUAGCUAAGAGGUAGAAACAACCUAAAGGCCCACCAACUGAUGAAUGGAUAAAGAAAAUGUGGUGGGUGCAUCCAGUGGAAUAUUAUUCAGCUUUAAAACAGAAGGAAAUCCUGACACAUGCUACAACACAGAAGAACUUGAGGACAUUAUGAUAUGUGAAAUAGGCCAGUCACAGAAAGACAAAUACUGUAUGAUUCCACGUGUAUGAGGUAUCUACUAAAGCAGUCAAACUCAUGGAAGGAGAAAUGUGAAUGGUGAUACCAAGGACUAGUGAGGGAGAGAAAUGGGGAGCUGCUGUUCAAUGAUUAUAGACUUUCAGUCAUGCAAGAUGAAAAAUUUCUAGAGAUUUGCACAACAGAUAUGUAUAACAAUGGGCAUGUAGUUAACAAUACUGUACUGUACACUUAAAAAUUUGUUGAGAGGGUAUAUUUCAUGUAUGUUGUUGGGUUUUUUUUUACCAUAAUAAAAACAAAAAUGCAAACAAAAAACACCUAAUGCCUGGCUCCGCUCUAACCAAUUAAAUCAGAAUUUCUGGGGGUUGGGUGUUGGGCAUCCCUUUGUUGUUUUUGAUGAUGUUGUUUUUCCUCUUUUAGCUGUGCACAUUAGAGAGCUUCAUGCUAAAAAGUCUCCAUAAAACAUUAUCAUCUUCUUCUUCUUUUUUUUUUUUUUUUCUUGAGACAGGGUCUCACUCUGUCACCCAGGCUGGACUGCAGGGACCCAUUUUGGCUCACUGCGGCCUCAACCUCCUGGACUCAAGCAAUCCUCCCACCUCAGCCUCCCAAGCAGCUGGGACCACAGGCGUGCGCCACAAUGCCUGGCUAAAAUAGUUUUGUUUUUUUGUUUGUAGAUAUGGGGUUUCUCCAUGUUUCCCAGGCUGGUCUCGAACUCCUGAGCUCAAGCAAUAUGCCGAUGUCAGCCUCCCAAAGUUCUGGAUUACAGGCAUGAGCCACUAUCUUCUUUUUUUAAAAUAUCCAUCCCUCAUCUCAUAUUUGCUCUCUAACAAUAACCGUAAUACUUAAUAAUAUCUGUUUUAAUCAAUGGCACCAUUGUCCUUCAAGUUACCUGCCUGGAAAUGUGAAUGUCAUACUAAAUUCACUCCAACUGCCAGUCAUCAAUAGUGUUAAUUCUACAUCUUAAAGAUCUAUCCAUCCCCACCACUCCAACCACAUCUUUAGGAUGGGUUUUUCUCACUUCUAAAAUUGAUAUCUAGUUAUGUUGCUCCACCUUUGAAAAUUUUCACCAAAUAGCCUAACUUUCAGAAUGAACUUUAAACUAAAGCUAAUAUGCCUCUUUUGCCUACUCUAUCCACUGAAAUAGAAGGAAGGAGGGUCAACUGAAAAGAGGUAAGCUUUACAUAGUAUAUUUUAUAUGCCUAUCAUUCAUAUUUCUUUCUGAGUACUAAUAAAAUUAGGGUUUGGGUUUUGACUGGACCUUGCUAUUCUAAACGUUGCAAUUGAUUUCUAUAUGGCUAUGCAUGUCCUGCCCAAGUCUACAUGAUCUUACCCUUGCCAACUGCUCAGCCUCAUCUUCACAUGCAAGCAAUGCUCCAUCAUUUCCAGUCUCCUCUCAACUCCUCAGAAGAGCCAUCUCUCUGCCAUUUGAACAUUGGCACAGGUUGUUCAAACUCUCUACACCUUCCUUCUUCCUGCCCUCCACCAGCUCACUAAUCCUUCUCCAGACUUCAAGAUCAGCUUAUAUAUUACAUUGGCUUAGGGUUGGGAACAGGGAUGGUCACAGCAACAGAUGAUAUAACAAAGAUGGCUGGCAGUGCCCAAGGACUUUUGAGCCUAUGCACCUUCAUUUCCAAAGCUGCCUUCUUGAAGCCAUCCUGGCCAGCUUCAUGGAGUUUACAGGACCCACUCAUCCCUUUGUCUUUUACAGGUUACCCAAAAAGAGAUGCUCUAGAGGAAAUGGCACAAAGCCAUAGAAUUUUAAUUGCAGUUUGUAAUUACAAAUGUGAGUAAGUCAAAGUUUGCAAAAUCUGUAAAACUGAGAAAUUACUAUGAAUUUUGCAACAAUGACAAGAAUAGUUGUGAGUAGGUCCACACAAACAGAUGAGUUAUAUAAAUACAGGAAGCAACUUUUCUCACCCAUCCCCAACCACUACAACCAAAGCCAAAAUAUACCUGUUGGCUACCACCCACUAAAAUAUGAGCGGGAGAGGUCAAAUGAGAAGAGGUGAGAUUUAUAUAGCAUAUUUUGUAUCCUUAUAAUUAAUAUUUCUUUCUGAGUACUAACGAAAUUGGAAUUUGAGUUUUAAGUGGGCCUUGCUGUUCUAAACGGUGCAAUUGAUUUGGAUAUUGCUAUUGAUUUGCUUUUUAGGCUAUUAUCUACUUGACAACCAGGAAGAAUGAUCUUCUUUGGAUCUGACCUGCCAGAUUUGAUUCCCAAGGAAUGAUGAACAUCCAUUAGAGGGUCCAUAUAUAUUAAUGAGCAAGAGGGUGUUGAACUGCAUACUCUGUAAUUAUAUCCACAAUUGCUUCCACAUUUAAAACAAGUUUUGAUAUUAUUUGCAUGCAUCAUUGAAAACCAAUUAUUUAUACAUGUUGCAAUUUUGACUCAUAAAAAAUGAACAUUUGUUUUAUACUUUUUGAGUAGAGAAAAAUGCAAUGAAUAGAAUAUAAUCGGUUCCCUAAAAUUAUCAGUUACCAAAAAUAUUCCUUUUUGAUCCAAGAAAGUCUGUGAAAUAUGAAUGUUUGCAUUAUUUAGUUUGUUUACUUGCUUGUAGUUAUUCUUGUUAAAAUUUAAAAGUCCAAUUAUUUGACUAUGACAUAGGAAUUAGGUCCAAAUAAUUAGAGAAGCAUUUGCCCAUUGGUAAUUAAAGUUUCUGGGUGAAAGGAAUUUAAAAGGUUAUAUAAGAGAUAAUAAGUAAUAUUAUCUUCUAGUGAGUAACUAUUCCCUUAGUUCUUUGGAAAGGGAAUAUUAACUCUUCCAGUCUGUAUUUUUGUUCAUUUUAUUCAAAUGUGACUUGGAAGGAAGGGUUAGUUGUAGUUAAUAGAUACCAGCUACAUGCCAGACACCGCCAUGAAAACUCGGAACACAAAGACAAAUAAGAAAAACCUCCUUCCUCAAGAAACUUACAUUUCAGUGGGCUGCAGUGCCUAGAAGUUUAAAAUAUCACAUAUCGGAAGUUAUCUUCUAUCCAAUAUGCUCUCCACCAACACUGAGGAAAGCCAAGACCUCGCAUUAAGUGUAGGAACAAUCAUAAAUAUUUCAGGGGUUACAAAAAUGUCUGCAGGCUCAUAAAAUUUUGGAACUUAUGGGGAAAAAUUAAAUUUACUGAUGGGAACACACAGACGAAGCCAAGCUUGCUCAUUUCUUCUGCAGCCCCUUCACAUAUGGGAGACAGGGUAGUAGGGAGGUUUGGAGAAGUUGAGUGCACUGGUCCUGGAGUUAGGCUAGAAGGAGUCUUUGCUGUCUUUUAGGUUAUGACUUUAAGCAUCUUAUGUAGCAACCCCUUGCCUCAGUUUAUACUGCUGCAAAAUGGAAGUAAUAAUUGUGCUCACCCCAUAGGACUGUUACAAAGAUUAAUUGAUAACAGGGUCAAAAGGGGCUUAAUCAACACAAGCUACUACUGUAAUGAUCACAUUCACUUCUCUCUCAACCCAAAUUCUUCAGUAUCAUUGGAAUUCAGUUCUAAAUCCAUCUCAAUUAGGUCCCUUUAAGAUGAACUCUAGACAUUUCCUGAGGCUGGCUUGAAAAGGAGAGGGAGUAGGGGAUGAAUUCUUUCUCACUCUCUGCCAUCAGAUUUGAAACGACUUCAUUAGUGGCCCAUUUUUUUUUUUCAUACUGCAAGCUUUAGGGGCUUUGAAGAAAUCCACCUAAAAAUGCAGAUUCCCCUGGGAAUGGCCUAUUCCAGUUUUAAGGAGAACAGAGGUGUCAGGUGUAAGGCUCUGUGUUGAGGGGAAGCGAGGGCUUUGCAGCUGCCUUUGUAAACACUAUAUUAGGAAGGAAAAAAAAAUCCUGGCUCAAUGCCACCUUUUCCCCCCGUGCCCUGAGAACUGUUGCAGGUCCUUCCCCAAAGCCACAUCUGUGAAAGACAGAACUGGUAGGAACAAUCCUCAAUAUACAAGUGCCUAGGAAGCCAGGCAGAUGACGAGCUCAGGGGAGCUGGGAGAAGAGUGGCCAAUCCAUCCUUCUAUUGGCAGAAACUUCAAGGAAGCAGAGGUUUGUACAGGUCAGAGUAUUUUUUUCACUAUGUCUUAGAUUGCUGAGGUGAGGAGAAUGCAGCACAGUGAAGCCAACACAGAAUCAAGUGGCCCUUCUCUUCCAUCACUGAUGUUCUGAAUCACAUUGCUGUGGUGGGUAAUAUUGCUAUCUGCAGGAGAAGAAAUGAAAUAGAGAUGGUGAUGCUUUGUCUGAUUAAACCAGCGCUGCCCAGUAGAAAGAGUGAGAGGCACAAACAUGAAGGUGUCAUUUUAAACUUUCUAGUAACCCAUAUCUAAAAAGAGGGGAAAGAAAGAGAAAUUUAUUUUAACAAAGUGUUUUCUUUAACCCAACAUAUCCAGUACACCAUCAUUUCAUCAAGUAACCAAUUAAAAAAUUACUAAUAAGAGCUUUUACAUUCCUUUUUCUAAGGCUUCAAAAUCUGGUGUGGAUUUUAUACCUAUAGCACAUUGCAAUUUGGACCAGGCACAUUUCAGGGCUCAACAGCUUCAUGUGCCUAGUGGCUAUCAUUGUGGACAGAAAAGGACUAAACUCUUCUCUAAAAAUUGACAUAAAGCAGAAACUUCCUGGUCGUUAGACCAAUAUAGUGCUCUCCAUUUGAGUGCAUUGGAAUGAUCUGAGAUUCAAUGUAUAAAUUACAGGCUUUUCAGCCCCAAGCUCUGAACUGUCACUUGAUCUCUCUUCUGCCAGCAGGAGGCAGUGGUCACUCGAAUCCCAAAUCCCUGGUCCUCAGCCUCACCUAAGAAGUAUCUUUUUGGUCAAUUUCUUUCCAUUUCUUAGAGUUUCCAAGAAGUUCAGUGUUACAGCUUUCUGGGGUACUCACACCUACUUUUAAGAGUUUCCAGGUCUUUCUGACAAAAGGCCAUGCAGGUAAGCGUCAAGAGCUGGAGAAGUGGCAGAUGUACUUUGUAAACAAUGCAGCAAACGCAGAUACUGGGUUGCUUAAGCAAGUCCUUGCAAAGGGGCAGGAAUGGGCAGAUGAGGCCUUCACCCACCACCCCCACAAGGCUUUGCUUUCCUUCCUUUCCAAAUGAUCCCACCCUGUCCUCAGGAAUCCAUAAUCCAUGAUGAAUACCUUUCUCCUGAUCACUCUCUCAGUCUCAGAAUGGUCCCUUUGAGGCCAUCUGCUCUGGACUCUGGCUUACUCUACAGCUCACAAAGAGGUUCCUCACUUUCCUGUACCUCCAGAGAUCCUACUGGUCUCAGUCCAAAGGUCUCCACCUUAGAGAAAUCUUUUAUUGACCCACAACUAGAAUAGGUGUAAGUGAGAUAAGUGUGCAUUCUUCUUAGCUCACAGUGGUGUUCUCUUAAUUGUGGCACCUCCCACAUUUUAUAAUUAUGGUCAACCUGGGUGAUUGUCUAAUUGUACUAUAAUCUAUUCCCCCAUAUGCUUCAUGUAAACAGAAAAUGGAUCUGUUUUGCCCACGUUUAAUAGAGAUAAUAUGAAAUGCUAGCCCCUCUUCCCCACCCUGUCGAGCCCUAUUGUGAGUUUGUUUAUUUAUUCAAGAUAGGGUCUUGCUCUGUCACCCAGGCUAGAGUGCAAUGGCACCAUCACGGUUCCCUGCAGCCUUAACCUCCUUGGCUCAAACAAUUCUCCCGCCUCAGCCUCCCAAGUAGCUGAGACUACAGGUGUGUGCCACCAAGCCUGGCUACUUUUUUAAUUUUUUGUAGAGACAGGGCCUUGGUAUGUUGCCCACGCUGGUCUCAAAUUCCUGGGCUCAAGUGAUUCUGCCACCUCGGCCUCCCAAAGUGCUGGAAUUACAGGCAUGAGCUACCUGGCCGGGCCCUUAAUGUGAGUUUAAUACGAUCCUAAACUCAGAGAAACUCAGUCCCCACACCCAACUAAAUAUUCAUUCAACUGUUUUUGUUCUCCUUGUUUUAUUUUUGUAUUUAAAUGUACACGGUUCUCCUCUGGUUCCUAUUUACAACCCUUCAUGAAGGUGCCUCACCAGGUGGGCAUAGCCUCCUUUGCACUGUAUUCCUUUCCCCUCCUCCAGAACCAAGGUUUUCCCCUGCUCCACCAAACCCUGUUGAACAUCUGCCUCCCAUCUCCCAGCUUCUCUGAUAUUUCAGAGACCCCUAGAAUUUUGCCUCUGUCCUAUGGAUAGACCAAGAACUUUCUGUGUUUCUAUUGCUAUGCUAUAUUCUUGAAGGGAAGGAAGACAUACCCUGAAAUCUCUACCUUUUAUUGUGAACUACAACUGCAAAAUCACAUCAAAAGGCUUAAGGGAAAAUAUUGGCAAAUUGAAAAGGCAGACUAGGAGCAGCUUGAUGUCCAGGCAACUACAAGUUCCUGUAUUUCAUAAGUCAACCUGGGCUUCAUUUUUUACUAUUUCUGCCUGUAGCUAUGACUUGUUUCAAAAUCCUACCUGAUACAUUAAGAAUUUAGAAAGCCUCAUGCAGGCUUCCUAUUUUCCACAAAUGACAAUAAACUAAAAGUCCUCCAGAGACAUUUUGGUCAUAGAAUAUGAUUGCAAGAUGGUGAUUUAGCCUACUGCCAGCAAAGAGCUCUUGUCUGGAAAGAACUAGUGCCAGAGACAGUGGCUUUGGAUGAUGGUCCUUCUGGUUUCAAUGAGCACCAUGAGUCACUGAAAAUAAAUGUCCGGGCAGCUUAAGGGGUCUCUGAUUGCAUGUAGAUCCAUGCCUGUGAAUGGUAGUACUAGAAAGGAUGAAAUGUGUGUGAGCUACAUAACAAAAGGAGGUUGGGCUGGAUGACUAGGAUGUGUUCUUGGAGAGAAGAGCUGAAGGUUUUCUUCUGUGGUUUUCAGAGAAAACAACAACAAAAUGAAACUCAGAGUGACCUGCACAGACCUAUUGAUAACAGCCAGUUCUCAUAGAGCAUUUUCACAUCAAUCUUCUGAGACAGACAGGGUAAGAGCAUUAUAGCCAUUGCAGAGGUGGGGAAACUGAGUCUAAGACCUGUUGAGGGACUAAGAGUAGCAAACAAAUAUGUAUUCAAAACUUGAAUACAUAUUUUCCUACUUCAUUCACUAUUCAAUAUUAUCUUAUCUCUCAGUUUUACUUUUACAUUUAAAGCCAAAAUUUAUUAACCUAGAAUGACUAUAUGUAGAGGACUGCUUACACAAACAAAAGGUGGUGUCUUUGAAUUGCAUGGUGCAAGUGACUUGAAAAUUACCUUAACCUACUAAUAUGAUUAGAAAGUCUGCUGAAGGGUGUGGUAAUCAUGUGCAUUUCUACAGAUUAUGACACUGUUUUUACACACGUACAAUGAUGUAGAACAGGAAACCAUAAUUACUUGUAACCAGAUUUAGAAAAAUUUUUUUGUUGUCUUGAUAUUUUUUCAGCAUGUUGUCCUAGAAAGCAGGCAAAGGAGGAAAAAGAGAAUGUGUACAAAGAAAAUACCCUUUUUCAUACAGAAAAAAGGGCAGCAUUAUAAGGAAGAACCAUGUACACACACACACACACACACACACAUACAAAUACACACACAUAUAUCUAUUCUUCUUUUCCUCUAGGUCUUAAUAAAAACACAAAAGCAGCUUCUGCAAACAGUAGACAGUUCCAGGGGAAAAGCCAGUGCCCAGAGCACUCCCAACCCAAUCAAUCAAACCCUAGACCUAGAGCACAAUUGAGCCAUUUUCUUUUUAUUACAACAAUUCAAAAAUUUGGAAGAGAAAAACCCAUCUGUAAUCUUACCAGCCCAACAUGACUAUUUCCAGUUUUGCAAAUUUCCUUCUAGUUUUUCUUAAUAUGAGUAUUUUUUCUAAAGUCCCUAACAUGUAGUCAUUUUUUUUGAGUUGCAUCAAAUACUUCAGAAGAAAAUAAAUUUAAAUGCCAUCACACUCUUGAAUUUGUGGUGGCCAUGUUAUAUUUACUUUGGAAGUUAUCUCAGAACUUUUUUUUUGAGACAGAGUCUCACUCUUUCACCCAGGCUGGAGUGCAGUGACACAAUCUCGGCUCACUGCAACCACCGCCUUCUGGGUUCAAGCGAUUAUCAUGCCUCAGUGUCCUGAGUAGCUGGGAUUACAGGCAUGCACCACCACACCCAGUUAGCUUUUUGUAUUUUUAGUACAGACAGGGUUUCACCAUGUCGGCCAGGCUAGUCUCGAACUCCUGGCCUUAAAUGCCCACCUCUGCCUCCCAAAGUGCUAGGAUUACAGGUGUGUGCCACCAUGCCCAGCCUAUUUUAGAACUUUAUCUCUUAGGCAAAAGUUUCUGCUUCAGAAGUUGUACUCAAGUUAAAGAGAAUUUAUUAAUGUUGCCCUCAGAUCACACAUGGAGCCCAGCG